rnacentral:rRNA from 1 species
GACGAACGCUGGCGGCGUGCCUCAAACAUGCAAGUCGAGCGGGGCUAUGUAAUACCGCAAGGUAGAACAUAGCCUAGCGGCGAACGGGUGAGUAACACGUGGGUAACCUGCCUGGAAGACAGGGAUAACGAUUCGAAAGGGUCGCUAAUACCUGAUAAUAUCCUUUCAUCGCAUGGUGAUAGGAAGAAAGGGGAAACCCGCUUUCAGAUGGGCCCGCGUCCCAUCAGCUAGUUGGUAAGGUAAAGGCUUACCAAGGCGACGACGGGUAGCCGGUUUGAGAGGAUGUACGGCCACACUGGGACUGAGAUACGGCCCAGACUCCUACGGGAGGCAGCAGUUGGGAAUCUUAGGCAAUGGACGAAAGUCUGACCUAGCGACGCCGCGUGAGGGAAGAAGGCCUUCGGGUUGUAAACCUCUGUCAUGGGGGAAGAAGUAAGUGACGGUACCCCAAGAGGAAGCCCCUGCUAACUACGUG